rnacentral:rRNA from 1 species
CGGGGUGAGUAACGCGUGGAGAACCUGCCGUAUACUGGGGGAUAACACUUAGAAAUAGGUGCUAAUACCGCAUAAGCGCACAGCUUCGCAUGAAGCAGUGUGAAAAACUCCGGUGGUAUACGAUGGAUCCGCGUCUGAUUAGCUGGUUGGCGGGGUAAAGGCCCACCAAGGCGACGAUCAGUAGCCGGCCUGAGAGGGUGAACGGCCACAAUGGGACUGAGACACGGCCCAAACUCCUACGGAAGGCAGCAG